rnacentral:tRNA from 1 species
GGAGUGGUAGUCUCGUAACUGGCAGCGAGGCCGGUCUGUAAAACCGGCGGCGUCCGCCCUUGCUGGUUCGAAUCCAGCGCACUCCA